rnacentral:rRNA from 1 species
ACGCUCGACACCUACGGGAGGUAGCAGUGGGGAAUAUUGCACAAUGGGGGAAACCCUGAUGCAGCAACGCCGCGUGAGUGAAGAAGUAUUUCGGUAUGUAAAGCUCUAUCAGCAGGGAAGAUAAUGACGGUACCUGACUAAGAAGCUCCGGCUAAAUACGUGCCAGCAGCCGCGGUAAUCUGAGCGGGCUGGCAAGGC